rnacentral:rRNA from 1 species
GAUGAACGCUGGCGGCGUGCCUAAUACAUGCAAGUCGAGCGAACGGACGAGAAGCUUGCUUCUCUGAUGUUAGCGGCGGACGGGUGAGUAACACGUGGAUAACCUACCUAUAAGACUGGGAUAACUUCGGGAAACCGGAGCUAAUACCGGAUAAUAUUUUGAACCGCAUGGUUCAAAAGUGAAAGACGGUCUUGCUGUCACUUAUAGAUGGAUCCGCGCUGCAUUAGCUAGUUGGUAAGGUAACGGCUUACCAAGGCAACGAUGCAUAGCCGACCUGAGAGGGUGAUCGGCCACACUGGAACUGAGACACGGUCCAGGCUCCUACGGGAGGCAGCAGUAGGGAAUCUUCCGCAAUGGGCGAAAGCCUGACGGAGCAACGCCGAGUGAGUGAUGAAGGUCUUCGGAUCGUAAAACUCUGUUAUUAGGGAAGAACAUAUGUGUAAGUAACUGUGCACAUCUUGACGGUACCUAAUCAGAAAGCCACGGCUAACUACGUG